rnacentral:rRNA from 1 species
AGAGUUCGAUUAUGGCUCAGGAUGAACGCUAGCUACAGGCUUAACACAUGCAAGUCGAGGGGCAGCGGGAAGUCAGCUUGCUGACUUUGCCGGCGACCGGCGCACGGGUGAGUAACACGUAUCCAACCUUCCCGUUACUCUGGAAUAGCCUUUCGAAAGAAAGAUUAAUACCGGAUAGUAUCGAGAGAUUGCAUGAUUACCCGAUUAAAGAUUCAUCGGUAACGGAUGGGGAUGCGUUCCAUUAGGCAGUUGGCGGGGUAACGGCCCACCAAACCUACGAUGGAUAGGGGUUCUGAGAGGAAGGUCCCCCACAUUGGAACUGAGACACGGUCCAA